rnacentral:rRNA from 1 species
UACGGAGGGGACUAGCGUUGUUCGGAAUUACUGGCGUAAAGCGCACGUAGGCGGAUUUGUAAGUCAGGGGUGAAAUCCCGGGGCUCAACCUCGGAACUGCCUUUGAUACUGCAAAUCUCGAGUCCGGAAGAGGUGAGUGGAAUUCCGUAGUGUAAGAGGUGGAAAUUUCGUAGAUAUUGGGAAGAACACCAGUGGCCGGAAGGACGGU